CUAUAAAGCUGAACUCCACCAACAUCAAAGUGGCGCGCAGCAAUCAAUCAAUCAAUCGCACCUGUCGGCUGAUCCAGCGGAGAAGCGAAUCAGAGAAAAAUAUCGAUCACCUACAUGAAAAAAAGUCCCUCGUUCGCGUGACGUCAUCGUCUCCUCCUCGUUCUCAUUGGUUCUCUCGCCAGCUUGAGAGUUUUCCCGCGCGUCCUCUGGCGUUAAACAGCGCACUGCCCUGUCGGCCGUUAGCGGCUGAAAGCUCUCGGAUCCUCCGCAGUUUAACGUACACAAACAGCCCGUAACGGUGCUUUAGCGUCGGAUAAUGUCCUCCCAGAAUUACGACUCGGGCUGUUUACCGGACUUGUUGCCGCUGUACUACCGACGGCUGUUCCCCUUCUCACAGUACUACCGAUGGCUGAACUAUGGAGGAGCAGAGCAACUGUCGUACCAGUGUGAUGCAGUUGGUGAGGAUCCUCUCGAUGGUGCAGCGGUAGAAGUUCACCAGGAUCUGAGGGGACAGAUGAGCCUUCUUCAGGUCUCCUCAGGAAGAAGAGGAUGAGGAAUCGGCCGAGGGAAUCAGGCUGCAUGAAUGCACAUCACAGGGAGCACUGAACAGCCAAGAGUGAC